GUGAGGAAUAUUGGACAAUGGAUGGAAAUCUGAUCCAGCCAUGCCGCGUGCAGGAAGACGGCCCUAUGGGUUGUAAACUGCUUUUAUACGGGAGCAAUAAGGUCUAUGCAUAGAUUGAUGAGAGUACCGUAUGAAUAAGCAUCGGCUAACUCCAUGCCAGCAGCCGCGGUAAUACGGAGGAUGCGAGCGUUAUCCGGAUUUAUUGGGUUUAAAGGGUGCGUAGGCGGCUUUGUAAGUCAGCGGUGAAAUUUUGCAGCUUAACUGUAAAAGCGCCGUUGAUACUGUGAAGCUAGGAUUUGGUUGCUGUGGGCGGAAUGUGUGGUGUAGCGGUGAAAUGCAUAGAGAUCACACAGAAUAUCGAUUGCGAAGGCAGCUCACAAAGCCAAUAUUGACGCUGAGGCACGAAAGUGUGGGGAUCAAACAGGAUUAGAUACCCCAGUAGUCC
rnacentral:rRNA from 1 species